CCUACGGGAGGCUGCAGUGGGGAAUAUUGGACAAUGGGCGAAAGCCUGAUCCAGCCAUGCCGCGUGUGUGAAGAAGGCCUUCGGGUUGUAAAGCACUUUCAGUGGGGAAGAAAGCCUUGGGGCUAAUACCCUCGAGGAAGGACAUCACCCACAGAAGAAGCACCGGCUAACUCCGUGCCAGCAGCCGCGGUAAUACGGAGGGUGCGAGCGUUAAUCGGAAUUACUGGGCGUAAAGCGCGCGUCGGCGGUCUGAUAAGCCGGUUGUGAAAGCCCCGGGCUCAACCUGGGAACGGCAUCCGGAACUGUCAGGCUAGAGUGCAGGAGAGGAAGGUAGAAUUCCCGGUGUAGCGGUGAAAUGCGUAGAGAUCGGGAGGAAUACCAGUGGCGAAGGCGGCCUUCUGGACUGACACUGACGCUGAGGUGCGAAAGCGUGGGUAGCAAACAGGAUUAGAUACCCGAGUAGUC
rnacentral:rRNA from 1 species